AAUGCUAAAUGAUCCUUUAAUUCUAUCUCUGUACAUCAGACACCUGGAAUAAGUCGUUUUCUUCUGAUCAACAUUAGAGAACAUGAUGGGAGGCCCUUUCUGCAGAGCAAUCUGUUUAACCUCCCACCUCCCACUAUGAAAAGAGACUCAGUCAUUUUGCUGUGGCUGCUUCUCACAUCAACAACAUCGUUACAAUGACUCCAGUUCUCAUCGCACUCGUAGUGUCGUCGCUGAUGCUUCAAGGUCACUGCCAGGGUGUGACGCAACACCCUGAAAUCAACUGGAGUCUUGCUUCCAAAUCGGCAGAGAUGAACUGCAGCCACAACAAAGAUGCCAGUCACACCCAGAUGUACUGGUACAGACAGCGUCCAGGAGAGACCAUGACCCUGGUGGUCUACUCAGUUUUUGGCGGACAGCCAGAUUACGGGAAGCUCCCUCAGACCAGAUAUUCAGCCGUUAAAGAAAGUUCUGAGAGCGGCGCUCUUACUGUGAAGGACUUGCAGCUGGAGGACGCCGGCGUGUAUUUUUGUGCUGUCAGCAAACACAGUGAUGUGAGAGGGAAACGCAACUGAACAAAAACUGGUUGCCAGCACAUUUGGGGGGCGUUGCAGGAUUGUAAAUAUUUCAUCAUCAACAGGUGGAGCUGGAGGGGCAGAGAUACACAUUCAGCACUAAGAUCGAAUGUGUCUGCUAGACAGCGGAGGGCAUCGA